rnacentral:rRNA from 1 species
AUGGAACAUCUUGCUGAAAACUUCUAUGCAUAUUUUGGCGACGAGAACCUGGUGAUGAUGUUCAAGAAACUUUGCCAGCAGAAGCGACAGCAUAAAUUCGAUAAACUCUGGAAGGAGCUCGACGAGUUGACAUCCAAAUAUAUGGCAGAGAAAGAAUCUGGUGCUAGUGAGGAAGUGCAGCAGGGGUCAGUCAAGCAUGAUGAUGCAGAGCUUCAGGAGCAAAGCCCAUUCAGCCAGCCUGAUUCAGUGGAGGAUGGGAUGGAAGGAGAUCGUGCCAAUGAUAGCAAUGGAAAGAUAACAAAGUUCUCUGAUUGGAUUCGUCUGAAACCAAUGGAGAAGUGGUCACUGGUGCAUGAUCGCAACGGAGCAAGAUAUGGUAUCAUGGGCACUGAUAUAACUGAUGUAUAUAAGAACGAUCCUGUAUUGAAAGGUAUAACUUGCCUUCCACUCAGUGCGAUGGUGGAGGUGACAUUCCUACGCUUGGAAGAGUACUUCAAAAACACAGGUGCCGCAGCAAACAAAGCAACCGGCAACCCUUCAGUCAGUUUACCAGAACGUGUCCAGGAUGACAUGAACUCCAAAAUGCAGAAAGCCGAGAUGCAUCAAGUUCUUGUGGGUGAAGAGGCUCUGAAAUUUACGGUGAAGUCGAGGCAGAGGCAGGUUACCGUAAACAUGAAGUCGGAAUAUACCCACAACAUGGAUAAGUCUAAAGGAUCCACAGCUCGAAAAACUGCUACCUGUUCACGCAACAAGCCGCAGCUGCUUCACAAGCCUUGCUCUCAUGUCAUUGCCGUCUGUUGUCAUAUUGGGGUUAGCACUGCUGAAUACAUGUCCCCAUACUACAGCCUGACUUGUCUAGGCAGGACCUGGAGUAAAAAAUUCAAUGAGUUCUCACGCAACUACAGAAAAAAUUUACCACGCUACUACAGAGAUAUCAGACCAUUUGAACGUGAAACACCAACUUGGAUCCCCGACAAAAGAUUGGAACGUGGUUUUCCUGUUUAUCUGUUGCCGGACUGCGUACAAACUGCCGUUGUCGAUGAAGGGCAACAGUGCACAACUGAAGAUGAAUCAGUUGCAGACAAUGAAGCAACAAAGACACGCUCAGAAGAAUCAAGAGCCUAG